AAUGAAUUGCCUGAUAAAAGGAUUGCCUUGAUAGGGCAAAUCAUGUAAUUAAUUACAUUCAUUA
rnacentral:tRNA from 1 species